GAUGAACGCUAGCGGCAGGCUUAAUACAUGCAAGUCGAGGGGCAGCAUGACUGUAGCAAUACAGUUGAUGGCGACCGGCAAACGGGUGCGGAACACGUACAGAACCUUCCUUUAAGUGGUGAAUAGCCCAGAGAAAUUUGGAUUAAUACACCGUAACAUAUAGAGUUGGCAUCAAUUUUAUAUUAUAGCUCCGGCGCUUAAAGAUGGCUGUGCGGCUGAUUAGGUAGUUGGCGGGGUAACGGCCCACCAAGCCUACGAUCAGUAACUGGUGUGAGAGCACGACCAGUCACACGGGCACUGAGACACGGGCCCGACUCCUACGGGAGGCAGCAGUAAGGAAUAUUGGUCAAUGGACGCAAGUCUGAACCAGCCAUGCCGCGUGGAGGAUGAAGGUCCUCUGGAUUGUAAACUUCUUUUCUCUGGGGCGAAAACCUCUCAUUCUUGGGUGCUUGACAGUACCAGAGGAAUAAGCACCGGCUAACUCCGUGCCAGCCGCCGCGGUAACAC
rnacentral:rRNA from 1 species